rnacentral:rRNA from 1 species
AUAAACGUUGGCGGCGUGCCUAACGCAUGCAAGUCGCACGGAGCGAAAGCUCAGUGGCGGACGGGUGAGUAACACGUAGGAACCUGCCCAGAAGUGGGGGAUAACUCCUCGAAAGAGGAGCUAAUACCGCAUACGGUCCACGGACCAAAGCAGCAAUGCGCUUCUGGAGGGGCCUGCGGCGGAUUAGCUAGUUGGUGGGGUAACGGCCUACCAAGGCAACGAUCCGUAUCUGGUCUGAGAGGACGGCCAGACACACUGGGACUGAGAUACGGCCCAGACUCCUACGGGAGGCAGCAGCGAGGAAUUUUCCGCAAUCGACGAAAGUCGGACGGAGCAACGCCGCGUGGGGGAAGAAGGCCUUCGGGUUGUAAACCCCUUUUGCGAGGGAAGAAGAUCUGACGGUACCUCGCGAAUAAGUCACGGCUAACUACGU